GGCAGGGCCUAGCGCAGUGGUGUUUACAGCUAAUUGGUCAAAACCAGUUACGGAUUUCUUUGUUUCUUCUCCAUUGCUGCUGUUUCACUUGACUAGGAAA
rnacentral:Y_RNA from 1 species